GAACACAUGCAAGUCGAGCGGAAACGAUUCUAGCUUGCUAGAAGGCGUCGAGCGGCGGACGGGUGAGUAAUGCAUGGGAAUCUGCCCGAUAGUGGGGGACAACCUGGGGAAACUCAGGCUAAUACCGCAUACGUCCUACGGGAGAAAGCAGGGGAUCUUCGGACCUUGCGCUAUCGGAUGAGCCCAUGUCGGAUUAGCUAGUUGGUGAGGUAAUGGCUCACCAAGGCGACGAUCCGUAGCUGGUCUGAGAGGAUGAUCAGCCACACUGGGACUGAGACACGGCCCAGACUCCUACGGGAGGCAGCAGUGGGGAAUAUUGGACAAUGGGCGCAAGCCUGAUCCAGCCAUGCCGCGUGUGUGAAGAAGGCCUUCGGGUUGUAAAGCACUUUCAGCGAGGAAGAAAGCUUCUGGAUUAAUACUCUGGAGGAAGGACAUCACUCGCAGAAGAAGCACCGGCU
rnacentral:rRNA from 1 species